rnacentral:rRNA from 1 species
UACAGAGGGUGCGAGCGUUAAUCGGAAUUACUGGGCGUAAAGGGCGCGUAGGUGGUUUAUUAAGAUUGAUGUGAAAUCCCUGGGCUUAACCUAGGAACGGCAUCGAAGACUGGUAAACUGGAGUAGUGUAGAGGGUAGUGGAAUUUCCGGUGUAGCGGUGAAAUGCGUAGAGAUCGGAAGGAACACCGGUGGCGAAGGCGGCUACCUGGACAACUACUGACACUGAGGCGCGAGAGCGUGGGGAGCAAACAGG